rnacentral:lncRNA from 1 species
CUAUUUUGUUUUAUUUUCAAUAGAAAAAAUGGAUUUUAUUACUACCAUCGAAGGAAACUUACUAACCUUGGAUUUUUAUGAAAAUUGGCUUAGCAUCCCAGAUGAAGGAACUCUGGGUGGAAAAAUUAAUGCCAUUCAAAGCCUUUUGCAACAGAUCCCAGAACCAAACUUUAUACUAUUAAAACAUCUCAUAUGUGUAUUAGUAAUAAUAAAAGAUUCUUCCAUGAAUAAUUUAGACAGUUACAGGUUAUCUCUGCGCAUAGCUCCACAUGUACUGUGGGGUCAGACUUCGAGAGAUUCAUUAUUUGGGAGUGAUGUCUUAAGAAAGAUGUCUCUUAUACAAAUCAUGAUUGACAACUAUCAUCGAAUAUUUGGAAAUGAUGAUAUAUUUAGUAAACACAUUGACAAAAGGUCUGAAGACUUAAAGACAUACAAAGAAUCAAUAAAUUAUUCUGGAAAAUCUCCUAUUGUGACAAAAGCCAUAGCUUGGCCACAACUGGAAAACCAAUGAUAUUGAUGAAAAAUUUAAUAUUUCAUAUGCUGCACUGCAGGAAGAAGGUCCUACAGGUAAGACAAGAUUUAUUUAUUCAUCAAAUGAAUGGAAUCAUUUGAUCAAAUCAUUCCAUGAUGUCAUAAAUUUGUGUAUAUGAGAGAAGCUUUGGGACACAAAAUGAUUAUUAGAGUAUGGGAAAAGUUUUUAAACAUCACUUUAAUUAAAUUAUACUUAAAUAUAUGCAUCUAUACAUAUAUUCAUAUAUAUGUACACAUACAUUCACAUAUAUAUAUAUACUCAUAUACUGAAAUACAUCUGGAUACAUUCAGGUAUGUAUGACACAUUAUUUAGGGAAUCCACCAAUAUUGUCUGCUAUAUUUUCCCCCCUUUCUUCCCAUGGUCCUUAAGUUAGAGAAUUUCUUGCAUAUGAAUUUAUUAUUUUUGAUAAGAUCAUUUAGAAACAAUUAUUUGAUUUAAAAAUUGAUUAGACAUUCUGCAAGAUUAAGCCCUGCACCACUGUGAAACAUGCUUUGGUUUCCUAGCACGAAAAUACUAAUGUUUGUUUAAUUUCCUAUGAGAAACAAUAUUUUUCAAAAUUUUAUCAUUGGUAAAAAUAUUAAUUUGCACAGGAUUCACUACAAAACCUAUGAGAAGUAUGAUAAAGAGGUUAAACACACCUGAUUAUCAGGUAGUAGCACACAAAUUCAAAUACACUUUUAACUGAAGUAAUUAAGAAAAUAUACCCAAAUAUUACCCUUAUCUUAAGUGAUGUGAAUCUAUCAUCUGAGAAUAUUUGUCUGAUGAUGACAUUUUAUGUUUCGUUUAGCAGGACAAAACAGGACAACUACCACAUAUAAGUGGUAGUGGAUGAUUUAAGAAAGUCUAAGGUCAUUGUAUUUUAAUGUUCCCUUUUACCUCCCAUUUAAUCAUAUCAGAAGAAUUAUUCCAAGAUACUAUGUUAGCUUUAUAUUUCACCGUAUUAGUUACAAAUAGUUUUCACUCAUUGUACUUACUUUAUGCUGCAUAUUUCAUAUUGUUUGCUAUUGUAACAAAUGUUAUUAUAUUGGGUUAUUGUUUACACUCCAAUGUGCCUUGUUCAUGGUCCUACACAGUCUUUGGAAAAUUUUUCAGUCUCUGCCUCUACAGCCCAGUUAUAGUAUUAGUUUUCCCAUCUCAGUUACCAAUGUGUGGCCAGAAGCUAAUGACACUGAAUAAUACCUGAGAAUUCUGCAUAGAAUCCCGUGCCAUAGAAAGUUAUAAAUAAAAUUCCAUUAACAAUCAAAAUUAAUCAUCACACAUGAUGAACUUAGAGGUGUAUCAUGGUUUUAGAAUAUACAAAAUGACCUGAAAAGAUAAUCCAGUGUCUAAAGCAAUUGAGAUUUAGACUUUGCAACAUGAAUUUGGGUCAUCAAAACAUACAUUAAAAAACAAACAAGGGCUGGAGAGAUGGCUCAGUGGUUAAGAGCCCCGACUGCUCUUUCAGAGGUCCUGAGUUCAAUUCCCAGCAACCACAGGUGGCUCACAACUAUCUGUAAAAAGAUCUGAUGCCCUCUUCUGGUGUAUCUGAAGACAGCUACAGUGUACUUAUAUAUAAUAAAUGAAUAAAUCUUUAAAAACAAAAAAACAAACAAAACUAGGUAUUGGAGCACAAUCAUCUCUAAACGAGAAGUUUCUACCUGAAUGGAGGUGGCAGUCAGAGACAGUAAUUAACAGAAGCUUAUUGGACAGAUAUUCCUGACAUAUUGUUCAGUAAUGAUCAAAAGAGACUCCCCCCCAAAAAAUUAAAAGAGACAGAAAGACCAAUACUGGAGGCUCCUCAUAUCUUAAUAAGCUCAAAGUUCUAAUUAAGCUCUAAAUAUAUAUCACCAGUGAUGUGAUCUGCACGUGUUUUACACACACACACACACACACACACACACACACACACACAGCAUGCAUGCAUGCAUGCAUUACAUACACUGAGAAAUGCACAGAAGCAUACAGCAUUUUUUUUAUAUAUCUCUUCAUCACCUGAGGCCUCAACAUGAAAUAUUCUUUAUUCAUGGUUUGUCUAUCUCAAAAGUGUCUGUAAUACAAAUCUGAGAAAUGGAAAUCUUAGAGAAAACCUCCAGUAAAGAAAUUGAUAAUUUCCAUAUUUACUGUUCUUAGUCCUUCCUGAACUCCCAUUACUGUAAGUUCACAAUGUUUUCAUUUAUUACUAGUAUUAUUUUAAAUUUUUAUCAAAAGUUGAAUUAUAGCACUGUAACCUGACUUUUCUCCCUUAGGUCUAUCACAGUCACUGCACUUUCAUACUCAUUUCAAUAUUGUUUUGUACAUGUUUAUAUAUAUAUACAUAUAUAUAUUUAUAUCUUUAAAAAUGUGAAUAUUACUUGAGUUCAUUUUAUUCUGUUUGUGAAUAUGGUUUCCAUGAUAUACAGUGUGUAUUAGACAAUCCAUAUGCAGUUCAUUUCUGGAAAAAUUAAUAUUCUAUCAGUCAUAAUUAGCUGCCUAUAACUUUUGACAAGUGAAAUUUUGAUCACUGCCUUAACACUGCAUUGACAUUGCUAUUAUUGUGAUUUUGCACCAAUUUUUAUGAGAGGCAAUUUCAAAACAGACUUUCAAGUAUGCUGGGUCUUACAGUAUUUGUAACCCUUCUUCUACAAUGGUCCCUGAGCUACAGAGCAUUUAGCUCUAAUGUACAUGUACUCACUGGUGAUGGAUUUUUUGUAAUGCAAUUAUCUCUUCAUUGUGUCCAAGUUUUUGUUUUCUGUAAUGGUCUCCAUUUUCUAUACAAAGAGGCUUCUUUGACGUAGGAUGAUGUCCCCAGUUGUUGAUACAUAUAAGACUAAUAUUUAAAUGCUGUAAGGAACGUCACUAAUUUAUUAAAUUAGUGUCAUCAACUUUAAAGUUUAUGACCAAACUAGCUACAUAAAUCGGACUAGAUUUCUAGCUCUGGCCAUGAUUUCAAUCCUGGUGAGAGAAAUUCUACCAAUUGUUAAAGUAUUUUCUGCGGUGUUCUGGCCAUGAUUUCAAUCCUGGUGAGAGAAAUUCUACCAAUUGUUAAAGUAUUUUCUGUGGCGUUCAGGCCAUGAUUUCAAUCCUGGUGAGAGAAAUUCUACCAGUUGUUAAAGUAUUUUCUGUGGCUUUCCCCCAAAAUAUGGAUGCAUCAGGUAGCACUCGGAUUUCUCUCAAGGUUGGGGGCUUGAGUGCCAGUUGCCAAAUAAAUCUUACAAGGAAUCUCAGCAAUCUACCUGGAUAUGUCUUAGAAGCCCCUAGGUUUAAGUCAAAGUUCUAAGGUAGAUAAAACAGUAGGCAAGUUGACACGUUACGGAAGCAAUUGAUAGUUGUACCCACCUGUAAUACCUAUAAAGUACGAUGAUAACCACUGUGGCAAGAUAGCAGAAUAGGUUCAAUAAGUAACAGCUCAGUUCAAAACAACUGUUCUUUGAUUAGACUUAAAUGUAUUUUCUUUACCAUAGAAUUGAACAUGGUUCUGGGUCUUUCAUUUGGUUUCUCAGAAAAAAAUGUUAUUCCUAAGUAUGCUUUUAAAGUUCAACAUUUAGUAUCUUGUUAUUUCUCUUUAGGAUCAUCCGUGCAGGUCCUUUGACUUGUCCAAGUCACACAUUUUCACUCCUCUCUGACAAGAUAAAUUCAUUUUCCUAAAAUAAUAUGAUAUAAAUGUUAUAUAAAUAUACAAUUCCUUCUUUUUGGUUACUUUAGUUUUCUUCUUUCCACAUCUGCAAUUAGCCUUAAUUGACAAUAGUCUAAAACAUUAAAAGUUGAAAUUUCUAGCAAUAAGAAUGCUUACCAUAUUGAGUUAAUUGAAGAAUAUUUAGCAGUGAGCGCCUUAUGUCUGCAAGGAUGAUAAUGAUUCUAUCACCUAGAAUAUCCUUAUAGUGUGUGCUGCCCCUCAUCAAGUUAUUUAUGAAAUAUUAUGGUACCAAUGGCUUCCUUUGCUGAUUUUUGGUCAUACUCAAUCUACUCUUGUUUCAUACAGCCUAUGUAAACAAUUAAGAUAAUAUUAAAACUGCAUGUGACCAAGGGGCCAUAUAUUAGAAAUGAAGAAUUCAAAGUAUGUCUUUUUGAAAAUUGUAUGAUAGUAAACAUAAGUGAGCCUAAAUAUUCCAUAAGAAUAAUCAGAUAUCUUGUAAAUUCUUUCAAAAGUAGCAACAUACAAAAUUAACACACAAAGUGAGUACUCCUUCUUUGUAAAAAUCACAAACUUACUGAAAAGUAAAUCAAUGAAAACCUGUCAUUAACAGUAACUUUUUUUUUAAAUACCAAAUAUUUAUUUUAAAUUACUGUAAAACAAUAUUUAAGACCAUGGAUUAACAUGGAUGGAACAACAAUCCUUGGCUCACAUGAAGUACAAACUCCAAUGUAUUUUUAAAUCACAAAAUUCUAUCAAU